UCCGAUGUGUCCGAUACCGGGAACAGUGUCCGUUAACGUGUGUUUGUCAAGUUAAUCCGUCAGGAUACGUCGAAGCGAAUGUGUCGUUUGUCUGACUCCACUGUUUGCGCGGGACUUUCUGAAACAUGGCUGCCUGUGUACGGGGAGAAGAUCUUGCACCUGGCAAGGCGUGGAGGGAUUUCUUCACAGAAGAAAUGACAACGCCCAGGGGAAACUCGUAAACUGAGAAGUGUUCCAGCACAGCACUGAGGAGUCUAGCAGGCCUUCACUGACUUCAGGCUGAGGUGUGGAGGCCGUACCCUCUCAUCCUGACACUGGGAGAUGCCGGCGCUCCUCUCUGCCGUGUGUCAUUCUGGAGGGACAGGCUUCGGAGAAGUUGAUGUGUGUUUCGAGGCGUUUGAUAUGUUUGACUUUAACUUCUCUGAGCAGUGUGCUCCUACGUGGGAAUGUGAGAAGUGGUCUACGAAUUGGGAUGAAAUUUUACUGUAACAACACAAGGUAGAAGUAACUCAACAUCCCAGCUGAUGUAAACCAACGUUUGGAAAAAUAUUCAACCCAUCUUGCUUUAACCCAGCAUUGUGGUGGUCCAAUAGUUACCCAGCAGUGUGGUUGAAAACUUCCCAGAUUGGGUUGUUUUUAAACCAGCACUGGAACCCGGGCCGCUGUAGGCUCAGCCUUUGUACAUGGGACCUGCGUUGUUCCAGGUGAGCUACCUGGGCGCCCAAGUGUUGUAUUUUUGUAUAUAGGUUUUUACAAAAGUGUGUGAUGUAACUUUAUUUGUCAUGUGUUAUUGUCACAUGUGAGUAACAGGAUCAGACAAGAACAGAUCUACUUGGUUAUUUUAUCCAUGAACUCUACAGUUUUCCAGAGACCUUACUGUAUCACAACAUGUAUUUAUAUCUUACUUGAAAAUUGGAUAUACUAGUAUAGAUACUGUUAUCCAUAUUAAGGCAACCUUUUAAACUAGCAGUCUACAUAGUAAUAAAUGUUCAAUGAUCAAGUUCUCCAUAGUGCUAAUGUCCAGAAGAACUGUAAAGCUUAGGGCUACUUUUUAGGCACAGAUGGACAUUGGAGACCUACUGAACUGUUGGUCCAGAGUUCAGAGUUGUUUGGUUACAGCAGUGGCAAAAUACACUUCACAUCUACUAGUUAAUUCUAUCAGACAAAAUAUACAUCUUAUAUUGUGAAGUAUUGAAAUAUUAGGCCUGUAGCGACGUGUCGACGCUUUGCCACAGCUCGACACACACACACAUGGGAGACCAAAUUUAGUCCCAAACGUAAAGGUGUCGUUAUUUGCGCUCUUUGCUGUUGUGCUGGUGUGGUAUGCCAACUCCAUUUGGCAAUGUGGGAGCAUCUGGGGAGGGGGUGCCCCGUUGUUGCUCGUGGAGGAGACGGUGGCAGGUGGGUGCUGGCGUUGGCUGGGUUGGUUUCAUGUUUGUUUUGUUUGGCUCGGGCUCUGCGCACUUCGGUGGUACUGACUGGCUGUCUUGGCUCUCGGUGCGGUUUGUUCGUGCUGGGUUGGUGGCUAACGUUAACGUUGGCUAACUACUGGCGCCUAGACAGCUGUGUUUAGGUAACGUUAGUUAUCAUCUAAUGUUGGCUUGAAUGGUAGCUGGCUUACGGCUGCAGAACACAGCUAUCUAUAGUAGUUUUUGGUUGGCUGGUGCCACCGGGCUGCGCGGAGCUCGGGCUGCGCGGCGCGCUGCACGGGCAUGAGAUUUGGCCAGCGUUGGUGCUCGCUUGUUGUUGUCUCCUUUGCGAGUGGCUAAGAGGUGCCUCCGUUUCAGAGAGAGAGCUAAGAUGCGUUGGUUAGCCUAGCACCACCAAAGUGCACAGCUGCUAGAUCUAGCUAACGGUAGCAAGAAGACUGCAGUAGCUUUUAACGUUGUCUGUCUAACGUUAGCUAACUCACGUUAAUCGUCCAAUUAGUCGUUAGAUUAGUCGACUAAUCAAUAAAAUAAUCGCCCGAUUAAUCGUUUAAUAAAUAAUCGUUUACCCCCAGCCCUAAAUAUAUAUAUAUUUUUUUGGCCUUUUAUUGCCUUUAUUGGAUAGUGACAGCCAAAGAUAGACAGGAAAGGUGGGCAGAGAGAGAGGGGAUGACACGCAGCAAAGGGCCACAGGUGCAGUGUGGUGCAAGACGUUUCUCACAGCAGACAUUUUGAAAAACUCAAGUGUAACUUAGGUGUGGCUUUCCGACACAUCUAAAUUGAACUCAUGAACUGGUAUUAUAUGUGAAAAUGGUCACUGUGAGAAAGGUCUGUUAAUGGCAUUCAUCUUGAAGGAAAGGAGUUUUUUAGGUCCCUGCCGACGCUACCUUCAAUCUCAUCUGGUGAGAUGGAAGGUGUGACGGUUUGUGAUCUCAUUAAAUUGUUUCCUUCAAGAUGAAUAAAGGUGUUAAAAGAAGCGGGGUGCAGUGAAAAGGGCGGAGAUGGUCUUUUAGAGAAGAAGAAGAUAUACUUCAUUAAUCCCCUAGGGGAAAUUGUUCUUUUCACUUUUUUUUUCUACACACAGGCUGAAAUACACACUUAAUGCACUUGUGGACAUGCAAACAGGGAGAGAGAUGGUGGAGUGAUGGAACUGCCACGUUAACAGUGCCCCAUGAGCAGGCUUGGGGUUAGGUUGCCUUGCCCAAGGGCACCUCGGCAGUGCACAGGAGGUGAAACUGGCACCUCUCCAGCUGCCAGUCCACAGUCAAUACGUUUGUGGUCUGUGGGACUUGAACUGGCAACCCUCCGGUUCCCAAGCCAAGUCCCUAGCCAAGUCCCUACACACUGAGCUACUGCCGCCAUUGCAGCAGCCCACAAUGCAGCACCUAAAAGGCUUGGUUUGAGCUUUUCCCACUGCUUUAAAGAACCUCGCAGCUGCACUCUUUUUGGGUGGACUGAGGAAGACGUUCAGAUGGCCCUUCAGAUGUUUCACAACAGAAUCAACAAACGAUGGGUGGUCUGAUGCCAUUGCAGCCUCCAGUGGCUCCUGGAGAGGAUCUUUCAUCACAGCCUUGUUGAGUUUCUUCAUGCUGUUCUUGAUCUUUCUGACAGCAGAGUCAGUAAAAUCAAUCUCCUCCUGUGCCUUGUCCGACAGACGCUUGAUGAUGGCGUUGGUGUCUUCCAUCUGAAGGGACUUUUUGGUUUUCUGAGGGGAUUUUGUGAUGAUCCUCAUGACCAGAGCAGUGAUGACUUUAUCCUGUCUGCUGUAGGAGAUGAGGUAUCAGUCGAUACUUCUGAAAAUCCACUGGCGGACUCUUCAGAGCUCGACACCUAACUGGACUCUUUCACGAUGACAUUGUUGUCCUCUGGUGGGGUUAGUGUUUUCGCCAUUAGGUGUUCAAUGUCCUUCAGUGCACCAGACAUUGCAUUGCUGCAGCUUGAUUUAGUUGAUGGCUCCAUCUCCAUCUAGAGCAGCACCUGCUGCAAGAAUUUUCCUACUGCGUCUUCUGUCAUAACAUACACGACUUCAGGAGAAGUUGAGUGGUGGCGUCCACCUCCCUCCUGAGCUGUGAGAUGACAGAGUCAGACAGACUUCUUACCAUUGUAGCAGCAGAAAGUUGGUAUGUCUAGCUACUCUUCAGAUGACCAUACAUCUUAGUCAGUUCUUUUGAAAACUUCCUGAUUUGAUCUCUGGCCAUUGUUUUGUUGCCACUUGCUACAGGUUUCUCUGGGACGUUCAAUUGAUGAAAAAAGCUGUCAACAUCGUCUUUGAAGGUCUCAAAAAGUGGUGAAGACAGCUCCUUCCUCAUAUUGAUUACUGCUGUCGAUUGUGUUCUCACUUGUUCUCAUCAGUUUUGCCAUCAUAUUUUCAUAUUGUUUGUUGGCAAACUUGAGGAAGCUGUGUUCGCAAGAUUUUUGGUUGAUGCCGGUGGAGUGUUUUAGUUGCGGCAUAGAAGUCUUUCACCUUGUCAACUAUUAGCCUCAAAUUAAAAUGAGGUCUUGGUGAGAUACUUUUGUCACUGCUCCUACCAACAUCUGCAGUGUCAGGAUAAUGCAGGUUGUCAAUUAUUUUCAGACAAUUUCAGAUGCUGCAGCCUCAGCAUCCAUACAGGUGCAAACCGGAGGAAUGAAAGCAUGUCCUUCCUCUCCUUUGAUCUCUGGCAUCUCUCUGGAUCAUUUGACGAGGAUGUCACUCACAGCUUUUGUCACAGUGGGGACAGAGAUUGUGCAUUUUAUGCUCUGACAUGAUUCUGUUUCUUCCAAAUCCUGGCUGUGAUCUUAAGAUUCUGAGAUUUUUGCGUUUCUUGACCACCAACACCAGCAGUUCACUUUACCCAAAUAUCUCUUCAGGCAUGAGGAAGCAUGAAACACCAUGCGACGAAGAAACGUCAUGUUGGAUAUGUUGCCAAGGACAAAAAUGCCAGGCUCCUUCGGCCAGUCGGAGCAGCUGGUGGAAUUCAGCACAACAGAAUCUAGCUUCUGGGAAACCUCCUUUGCCACCAUUUCUGUCAGCACCUCUGCACUCUGACACGUCUGCAGUGGGACGUGAAGAGCAUCAGCAAAGCUACCAGGGAUGGAGUCUCCAAAUUGAGCUCUGAAGUUCUCCAAAAGUGCACUCAUAUCAGUCUGAGUUGCACACCUGAGCAUGAUCUCCUGAAUCAUUAAUGCAGUCGCUCUCAGGGUGAUUUCAGUGAUCAUAUCUGCCAGGGUGGACACUGUGUCUGUGUCCAUCGUCCCUGAAGCUAACAUUGCCCACUGUGCUGCAGAGAUUGUUGCAAAGUGUUUUUUCACUAUGAGCAGAAGAGUCUCUUGAGUUAUGGAGACAGGGUUGUCCAUCUUGGAUUCAGCUGGGUGCAUUUUAUUCACAUCUUCUGUCCCAAGUCUGGUUUGCUUUGGUGUGUUUGAAUCUUAUUUACUGUAAACAGUAAUGUGUGGAUUCUCACUGUGUUUUUGUAGGCACACCUGUAUUAAAUAUCAGUCCAGCUGUGCACCAGCUGUAAGAGCAUGACACACAGGCCUUACAGCAAACUCUGGACUCACGCGAGUUGAACAGAAAGUUUAUAUUCAUUUUCCUACUUUAUUUCACCAGAAAUAUCACCUAUAUUUUCUAUGGUAAAAAAGUGAAUGGAUGUGCUCUCAGUUUAUCUGCCCUUGCUAAACGAUCUCUCUCUUGACCACUGUGUAUUUUUUAUUUGUAUUUUUGGGUUGGGAGGAGAACAUGCAAAGAAAGGAUCAGCACAUUUUUACAAAUCAGAACACAAUAUUAUAACUUCUGCAAACAUAAUGUGUAGGGCUGGGGGUAAACGAUUAUUUAUUAAAAGAUUAAUCAGGCGAUUAUUUUAUCGGUUAGUCGACUAAUCUAACGAUUAUUUUUCUGUUAGACAGAUAACGUUAAAAGCUACUGCAGUCUUCUUGC